rnacentral:lncRNA from 1 species
UGAACCAGCAACACAGUAUUGUCAUUAUUGUUGUUAUUAUCACUGUUAUUCAUUGUUGUCAGAUUCCCUCAUUCCGAAACUGAAAUGGUUAGCAUGUGUAUCACAGAUGUUACAGACAUAGAGGAAAGCGUAUUGUCUCCUAGGUUUGGACUCAAAGGAAAAGUUGAUGCAACUGUAAAAUAAAAAUUACUGAUUUUACUCGUCAAACCACUGAGCAUUUGGUUCCCCUGGAAGUUAAGACUGGACAGAUGAAUGCCAAAUAUGGCGUCAUUCAGCACCGGGCUCAAGUGCUGCUCUAUUGUUUGAUGCUGUGUGACAGUCAUGUGGAGACUGUACCUGCUGGACUAUUGUAUUAUAUGAAAUCGAAAGAGACCCUCUCUGUAUUGGCCAGAGACAAUGAGAUAAGAGCUUUGUUGAUAGCAAGGAAUCAUUUGGCUCGUUACCAUGGCAACCACUGGGAUCAUGUGACCUUGCCAGAGAUGCUUAGAAACCCAAGAGUCUGUCAACACUGUCCUCGCUUGAAAGAGUAUAGCCUUUACCACAAGGUGUUUGAGAAUGAUAUGGCAGAGUCUUCAGGUUUCAGGGAUCAUUAUCCGUUGGUGCUUGAUCAAAUGAGUCCGCUCUGUGUUGACUAGCUCCUAUCGUCAUUGAGUUUGGUGAUGGAAGAAAUGAGUUAUGAGCAAUCAGAGUCAAUCAAAGAGGCAACCUGGCGGACUACAGUUCGUGAUAGAGUUAGGGAAGGCAGUUGUGUCAAUAAUUUGUUGUCUUGCCGACCUGAGGCUCUUAAUGAAAUGUCUAGUGGUAAUUUAAAAGUGAAGCAAACCUUCCUGAGGCAAGGAAAUGAAUCCAAUUCUCAUUUAUUCAGUAUGACAGGAUACUUGUUAGUCAUGAUGAUAUUAAUUGGUCUGUUGCUAUGGGUUACAUAAUGAAUAUUAAUGAGCAAUCGAUUGUUCUAGCAUUGGACAAGUCUGUCUCUGUUGGUCAGUCGUACACUAUUGAUCAAACUGCUGGUUAAUUUAGCACUCUAAUCCUGUCAACUUUAGCAGAAGUUUGUACCUCUGAUGGUGAAAGGGAUCAACAAUUAAGAGAGCUAGUGAUUGAUUUGAGGGAGCCAAGGUUCUGUGAAGGAAAGGUAAAUAUACUGUCAUCAAGUGAGGAGUCUUUGCUAGCGACUUUGAAUAAGCAACAAAGACAAUGCAUUGAAAGUGCUCUUUCUGCUAAGGAUUAUUCUCUAGUUUUGGGUAUGCUAGGGACUGGAAAGACGACAGCUAUUGCCUGUCUUGUACAAAUACCAGUUGCCCGGGAAUUAGUGUAUUACUGACCUCAUUCACUAACUCAGCUGUUGACAAUGUACUAAUGAAACUAAUAGAAAACGGUUUCAAAGAUAUCAUUAGAGUCGGUUCACUUGGGUGUGCCCAUCCUCAAGUUAAUUGUUAUAAUCUUUCUGAGCUAGUGAAAGAUUCCUCCUCCAUGUAAGAAAUUAAGGAAAUCUACAAGCAAAAAUCUUGGUAGGUGCUACAUGUCACAGUGUGGAUCACCCUCUCUGUACCAAUAAAUUCUUUGAUUAUUGUAUUGUCGAUGAAGCCUCUCAGAUUCCUCUCCCCCUCUCUCUCUCACUCCUCUAAGACUAGCAUCUCGUUUUGUACUUGUUGGAGACUAUUAUUAGCUGCCACCUUUAGUGAGAUUGUCAGUACUCAAGUAAGAAUUAUA